CGAGUCUGUCGGUGCCGCGAGUGGCAUUGCCUGCGUGUGCGUGCGUGUGUGUGCUCCGCUUGUACGUCCGGUCGGCAGUAGCGAGCUGUUUCCGUGUACAGUGCUUGCUGUGCGUUUACAGACAGCACCGUCUGGGGGUCGACAACUGCACGGGGGCAGGUGCGACGCAGAAUCCUCCAGCCGCUGAUGUGGCUUGUGUCAGCUGCCCGCCACGCCAUUCCAGACAUUCGACCGGCCUGAAGAGUGGCGCGCCACACUGUGGGAGGGCCGCAGCCGCCAGAUGGAGCCGAGGUGCAGCGCCUGCCCGGACUGACCCACACAACUGGCUGCCAAGGACGCGGCAUGAAGUCUGGCUCUACGGCGGUGGAGGCGGCUGUGCCGGUGCCGGUGGCCGCCCCCCGCUUCUGCCCCCGGAGGCGGGAGCGGGAGCGCGCCAUCGCCCCCGGUGUGG
rnacentral:lncRNA from 1 species